AGGAUCUUGAUCAGCUAUUAUGCAUUACAUAACGAAUGGCAAUACUGAUUGCGCAUGCUCAAUUGGGCGUGGUCAUGACUUGAUCGUUGUCAAUGAGAUAGAGCUGCACAGUUAGCUAGCUAGCUACUGAGUGAUAGGAUUAGUUUCAUGGUUGUUGUUCAUGGGUGCUCAAGCCCCCAAAGCCCCCCAUUGUACACGCCACUGUACAGGGACAGUGGACGGACAGCGACUGAUACUGGCACUCCUCACCUGGGUUGUACUGCCAGCAUUAUAAUAAUAGGCAUCAUUAUUAUUACUGCAUGAGCAUUACAUUACAUGCUGUGUCCUAACCUGUGCCCUAACAAUGUUAUUAUCACAAUACAUGUUCUGGGAAACCACUGGCAGAAUUUGGAGAAUACUAGAGGAAACAACACUAUACAGAGUAUCUACUGCUACUAUACUGAAUUAAGUCAAGUCUGUAUGGAGCAUCUCUUCACCGGCAAUGACAUCACUGGCAUUGGUGGAAUACAAUGUCCUCCUCCUUAAGAAAAACUACUACACUCAACUACAUCUCAUCAGUCAUAAUUCAAUCAUCAACUCAUUUUAUUUAUUGGGGGCCCCUUCAUAUUUUCAUUUCUUUUUUCGUUUUCGUUGUUAUAAAUCAUGAAAGAAGAAGAAAAAUGAUCAGGAGGAGGAGGAGUGGUCAGGCCACACCUACAAUGUACAUGUGACCACGCCUCUAAUUCUAGGCCACACCCACCUUUCCACACCUUCAUGUGAGCUGUGGGUGUGCCUAGUACUACAUACACACAUGAUGCUUUGUCCCUGUAUAGACAGUACGUAUAACUAUAUUUAAUAAUACUCGAUUUCUAACCACCUGGAUUUAACAUAACCUUCAAACCAACCGGAAACUAACAGAACCUUCUAAUCAACUGGACUGGGAUAGCCUCAAUAUAGAUAUCCCAGAUGGUCCCAUGGGCGGAUGGGCGGGGGGCCAGCGAUGCAGUGCCACAUACUCGCGACGGUGCUGGCUGUCACACUGCAUGGAGGGAGGACUAUCUCUCUAUAGUGUGCAAGAGCACUGCAAACUGAACACACUUUUGUAAUUUCAAUUUCUCAAUGAUUUGCUAUAAUUAAUGUGGUUUUGAAAAUUCAAUAAGAAAUUUUAACACAACAA